rnacentral:tRNA from 1 species
UUUAUUCUCUUAGCUUAUAAAGAGUAUAACAUUGAAGCUGUUAGGGAAAAUGGGAAUAUUUAUAGAAAAA